GGCCGCGCUGGCCGGGCUCCGCCUCCCGCCGGCGGUCAGAGACGCCCCCCACGGUCAGCGCUGGGAGGGGGAGGGGGUGACCUGCAGGAAAUGCCGGGCCGGGUUGCCGAGCUUCAGCCCGGAGCCCCUCCUCAGCAAUGCCAGCCGCUUCUGCUGGCGUCAGGAUGCUGCCUUUUCUGGUGUAAGCUGCAACUCCUCCUGGAAGCGAAAGCUCCGGCGGGAUUUCCUCUCCACGGAGGCCUCCUCUGACUCAGGGAAGAACUUCCACUGGAUUCUUACUGACCACGCCGAUGCCCAGUGCUGGGAGGAACAAGAAAAUUUAGCCAGGACCAUUAUCUGCCCACAUUGCUCCUUCGGCAGUGGAAGCCUAUCUCCUGGAGCUCUUCGGAAGUGGCUGCUGUGGAUGGCCCAGAUGUAGCCCUGUGGCUGGAGCCCGGUCUUGGCACAAUUUCCUGGACCACAAAUGGCUUUCCUGAGAGCAAGUUCUUCAGCUUGCACUCAGGGAUGAGUAGCUGGAGACAUUUCCCCCCUGAUCAUAAGGUUCCUGAAUGGUAUUUAUACUUUAUACCACAAAAUUUUGUUAA
ensembl:lncRNA